GUUAGAGAUCAUAUUGAGGGACUAGGGUUACAUGUUGUGUUCACUGAAUCAUUUACAAUGAACAUAAACAUUUAUAAACACAAAAAAGGCAUUUCUGAAAAUCAGUAUCUGUUACAAUCAUUCAAAUGCAAUGUCAUUUAUUUAUAUUGCAUUAUUUAGUCUACUGUUUUCUCAUUUUUUAAAAAAAUAGCAAUUAAGGCAAGGAGGGAAUCUUUAUGGUUAAUAUUUAAAAUUUUAUCUUUAGAAAUAAAAAAGUAGUUCAUCAUACAUAAAAGAAAAAACAAAUUUAAUCUGUAAGAGUACAUUAUCUUUAAUUUUCUUAAGUCAAAAACAUUUUACAUAUUAGCAUCAGUGUAAACAUCCUCUCUGACGUCGCAAUGUUAAGACUUCUGUUGCCUCGGUCCCAUCUCAUUCUGACCCUGGGCUCAUUGGCCCUUACAAUUUAAUCUGAACAAUGGAACCAGAGACAUCAGCACUGUCCAGGCUCUCUGAUGAUCUUCAUCCUUCGCCAGCGGCAAUUCAUGAAAUAAAUACAGAGUUUUCUGAGGAAAGUACAAUAUACUCAGACCUCAAAGUUCAUUGUUCUUCAAAUAUCCAGAACGGAAAAAUAACUAAAACUUCGAAAACAAAAGUGUCUCCGUGGUGCAUUGCUGCUGUGAUAUUUGCCUUCCUUUAUAUAAUCACUCUGGUAAUAGUUGCAGCUAUGGUAGCUAAGAUUCAUUGUCUUGAGGAGAUCCUGCACGAGGCAGCCACUGAGACUGCACAUUGCAACAUAAUAUCACAAAACAAAGGUUGACAGCCUAAUGCACCAGGAUAGAAAUAAAGACAGAGAUCAGGACAGAAGUUGAAUUCCUAGGAAAUCUGAGCAUGACGGACAAGAUAUGUACAAUAAGUGAUCCUACCAGUUGGUCUUCGAGAAAACAAAAGGACUACUAUACUCCUCACUUUGUUAGAACUGAAAACCAUAAAGCCAGAGUGAUGGCAGCUCCUGUGAACGCCAAUGAAACCACAAAGGAAGUCACUGGGUCAAGAAAUGCAUUACGAGCCACCGUGAGGCACGACCACCCUUCUGCUUUGCAGAGUUCAGAGUAAGAGUCCCUUCCUGUGUGAAAGGCGCUGACUGCUACAGCCUCCAGGACACCUUCUUACUGCAUAUGUGUGAUAAAUGUGAGAUUCAUUAUUUUGUUCUUUGUAGAAAAUUAAGUAUGAAAUAAUGUCUUACUUUUUUGUCAAGUCUUUUCAAGGUUGCUUCUCAAUAAAUUCUUUUUUAAAAAAUUGACGAUUUCCCCAAGAGUUUCUCCACUGGUUGCAAACCACAUCUUUAAUUUUCUUGGAAACAUUUUGAUAUUAUGAUUAAGGACACUAGUUUGAUACCAGAUAAGGCAAGAUAUUAGUUUGAGUUGUGUCACUUAUUAUAUUUAUAACUUUGGUCCAGUUGAAUUCCCUAAUCUACUUUUUCCACAUCUGUAAAAUGAAGGGGAUAAAAGUAUCCUCAUCACAAGGUUUUUCUAGGGAUUGAAUGAGAAAACAUUGUUAACUAUUGUUAUUGUUUCUUGUGUCUUCUUUGUUUGCAAUUCAAUAGUCUUUCUCCUUUGGUGCAGUUUUACGAUUUCUUUUUCUUUCAUGAAAUACCUUAUUUAUAAAAUCCUCAUAAUGUGGCAGAAUCAAGGACUGCCUCAGCUGUUUAUUAUAAGGGAUGUUAGGAACUCCCCUGUGCCCUCUUAAGCCUAAUUUAGACUCUCCCCCACUGGUUGGCUGAUGCCAAUGACUCCAUACUUGGAAAUACAUUUACUUUGUUUAUGGGUGGAAUAUUAGAGUACACAUUAUCCGUCAUGUAUAGCUUAUUGUAUGUGAGUUUAUACCUGAAUAAUUAUAGAUGCGAAUGGAAUCAAAAUUGGUAUUUUCAAGUGUGAACGUGUUAAAAUCUCCAUUGUAACAGAAUGGUAACGAUGUUCUAUCUAAGCAUAUGGCUCAAAGAAAACAAAAAGUGCAAUCAUCAAGCAGAAAGUAUAUUUAUGGCCAGGCACGGUGGCUCAUGCCUGUAAUCCCAACACAUUGGGAGGCCAAGGUGGGCAGAUCACCUGAGGUCAGGAGUUCAAGACCAGCCUAGACAACAUGGUGAAACCCCAUCUCUACUAAAAAUACAAAAAUUAGCUGGGUGUGGUGGCAGGCACCUGUAAUCUCAGCUACUUAGGAGGCUGAGGCAGAAGAAUCACUUGAACCCAGGAGGCGGAGGUUGCAGUGAGCCGAGAUCAUACCAUUGCACUCCAGCCUGGGCAACAGAGUGAGACUCUGAAAAAAAAAAGAAAGAAAAGAAAAAAAGAAGGAAGGAAGGAAGGAAGGAAGGAAGGAGGGAAGGAGGGAAGGAGGGAAGGAGGGAGAGAGGGAAGGAAGGAAGAAAGGAAGGAAGGAAGGAAAGAAGGAAGGAAGAGAAAAUACAUCUAUAUAUAACUCAUUUCACACAAUAAAAUACACGUAAAAAUAAAAUCUUAAGAAGUUUAUUGGUGUCAAUAAAGCAGACAAAACGUACUUAUCAUUACCAUAAUUGUUUUCAACACAACAUUGUUUUCUGUGCCAUAAAGAACCAUAGUCAUGUACCAUUUUUUUAAAAAGAGUGCCUCUCUAGUGUCUCCAAUAUUUUCUUCAUAGCUUCUGAUGCUCAUUAUUCAGAGAUUUUUGAUAGUGAUUUCUUGAUCUGUAAAAGUCUCAUAGACUUUUCUUUAAAAACAGGAUUAGAAAAAUUGUGGGGGACAAAAACAGGAUCAGAGAAUUUCCAUUCCAUCCUAUGAUGGUGUCUAAAUGAUGUGAUGAGUAAAACUUGCAGGACCAACAAUGUACAUAACUUCACUGAAGUAGUGACAUUAGCACCAGUGACAAUCACGGUCAGGCAUAUGCACAUUGCAACUGUCUCCUGGCCAACAGUGAUUGUAAGACUUCAUAUAUUUUGAGAGGCAUGCUAAUUUCAGAGACAUUAAAAUGUAAAAAACAAUACGUAUUAGUCCAUACUCACGCUGCUAUAGGGACAUCCCCAAGACUAGGUAAUUUAUAAAGGAAAGAGGUUUAAUGGACUCAGAGCUCUGCAUGGCUGGAGAGGCCUCAAUCAUGGCAGAAGGGGAAGCAAACACGUCCCUCUUCGCUGGGUGGCCAGGACAGAAAUGCCAAGUAGAGGGAGAAAAGCCCCUUAUAAAACCAUCAGAUGUUAUGAGAAUCACUCACUAUCAUGAGAAUUGCAUGGGUGUAACUGCUCCCAUGAUUCAAUUACCUUUCCACUCAGUCCCUCCCAUGACACGUGGGGACUAGGGGAACUUCAAUUCAAGAUGAGAUUUGCGUGGGGACAGAGCCAAACUAUACCACAAUGUAUCUUAGACUCACUGAAUUAAAGAAAAAAAAAUAUGAAAGUGAAGCAAACUCUAUUAUAAAAAUGAAUAAGUCUUAAAAACACGCACAAAAUACUGUAUCAAGCCUAAGAUUGAAAGGUAUUAAAUUUUCUAAAAAUGUUAUACAGAACUUAGCACAUCUACUUACACAAAAAGUGUAAGUAUAUAAAAAUUUAAUACAUCUACUUGGAUAACAUGUUUGAAAAAAUAAAUUAUAAAUGUUAACCAACUAAUUAAAUCACAUUCCAAUAAAUUGUUCUCAGGACUUAGAUGAUAUUAGAAAUAUAAAAACUCAGACAGUAUGAUAAAGGCUAAACAAAUUACAAAUGUAAUUGAUGUUAGCUCAGUAGAAGUAUGUGGACAAUGCAGCAUCAUGGAAAAUAUUAUUGAUAUAAAUAGAAAUUCCCCCCUGAGGUCAGGAGUUCAAGACCAGUCUGGCCAACAUGGUGAAACCCCAUUUCUACUAAAAAUACAAAAAUAGGUCAGGCGUGGUGGUGCAGGCCCGUGAUCCAAGCUACUCGAGAGGCUAAGGCAGGAGAAUCACUUGAACCCAGGAGGCGGAGGUUGCAGUGAGCCGAAAUCGUGCCACGGCACUCCAGACUGGGAAACAGAGCAAGACUCUAUCAAAGGAAAGAAAGAAAGAAAGAAAGAAAGAAAGAAAGAAAGAAAGAAAGAAAGAAAGAAAGAAAGAAAGAAAGAAAGAAAGAAAGAAAGAAAGAAAGAAAGAAAGAAAGAAAGAAAGAGAGAAAGAGAGAGAGAGAAAGAGAUAAAAGAAAUUCCCUACUCAUUUAGACUAAGAAAUAUCUGCUGAUUCUCCAUUUAAUGGGACUAUGAAGGAAGACUUCAAUGUGGUUCCUUAUUUGAAUUCAGUCCAACAGAUGUGAAAUAUCUAAACACAGCCAAAACAAAUGAAAACAUCUCACAUCAACAGUCCUAAAAAAUAAAAAUUAUUUGCACAUUAUAGGAAUUAUUUGAUAAAUGACAUGUUGUUCAAUAUUCCAUUUGGUCAAUAGUUUCUUGGUAUAUCAUUACAGAAUAAAAUAGAAUAUGCAUUUUAAUUUUAUCCACAGAAUAAUAUUGUAUGCUAACAUAUAUUGCUAUACACCGUAGUGUAAAUUCAAAUUUUGUAGAUAUGUCGAAGAGUUUUCUCAGCCAAGUCACAAAUCAUGUUUCCUACACGAUCUUGUGAAGCAAUCGCUCUGUUGAAGCAAGAGGAUAAUUCUGAACUGCAUAAGAGCCUGUUAUACGCACUUCAACCAUAUCAUUUAUUACAUUGCACUGUCACUGAUGUUUAUUAGUAUGUCCAAUGGAGUUCCUUAAACAAUGCAGUAUAUAUUUAUAAUUUUAAUACCAUGUAAUUUUAUGUUUACUAGUAUAUAAUAAAGAUAAAAUGUGUGUAUCUGGGAUGAAAAAAUCCCCACAAUUUCUACAUUCAGACUGUAGUGACAAAUCUGCACUUAUCUCUUUCCGGUCAGAGGCUUCCACACACAGAGAACCAAGAAAGGAGGGAGCAAUAUACAAUUAAGUAGGGCAACUUAAUAUCAAUUCAACUUUACAUAAAUUCUAGGGAAAUUAUAAAAUUUGCCCUCUCAAUGAAAAUGCUAUCAUGAGAUGAAAUGCACUAUAUUUUAAAAUAUCAUAACAUUUCAAACAAACAAACAAAUGCUUCUUUUUAAAGUAAAUUGGCCAGGCGUGGUAGCUCACAUCUGUAAUCCCAGCACAUUGGGAGGCUGAGGCAGGAGGAUCACUUGAGUCUGGAGUCCGAGGUUACAGUAAGCUGUGAUCAUGCCACUGCACUUCAACCUGGGUGACAGGGUAAGACUUUUCCUCCAAAAUAAAAUAAAAUAAAUGUUUCUUAAGGGAAAGAAAACAUGGAAAGAGAGAAACUAUAAUAGGAAAUAAAGUACACAUUGAAAGCAUGGCAAAACUUCCAAAAGUACUUUGACGGUCGUGGAAGUUGGCAUGUUUAAUUUAAUCAUACAUCAUGAUCUGCAUUUUGACUCAAUGAGGACAGGUAGACAGUACACAGAAAGACAAAUACAUUUACAGAAAGUAAUGGUUAAAUAAUCAAUAUACAUUAGUAUGUACAGGUUUAUUUAAAUAGCUAAAUUCAAACAGAGAGUUAAAAAUUACCAGAAAAUUGAGCUAAAAAUAAACCAGA
rnacentral:lncRNA from 10 species